GCUCUGGCUGGCGAUUAAUGUCUUCACCAGAAAUGGGUCUGUGCCAGUAACACGGAGAAGACCAGUGUUUCCAGACUCCAACAGGACUCAUUCGGUGAUGGAGCUGGAUGAGUUCGUCUGUCUUCACUGCUGGCCUAUGAACCCUCACAGUGUCUCAACUGGUCUGGUACUCAGUAUGUGCUUGUGACUUAAAAAGAAAUCUGCGUCCUGGAUGAGAUUAUGUUUCUUUAUGAAGCCCUAAUGUAGCAUAAAGAUCACCAAUGACCCAGAAAAGUAUAAUGUGAAGCAACCAUGGCUGCAAAGUGACUCUUGUAUCUAUGGAAUGACUCUGAAUGGCUUGCUACAAGGAAAAGUAUCUAGAGGAAAAUGAAUCUAUUCAAAUCUUAUAAUUGGUAGAAAAAGGGAGGGAGGAAACCCAUGUUGCUGAAUGUUUACUAUGCACCAGGAACCAUGCUCAACUCUGUCUGUGUCUCAGUCUUCAUAAUAGCACUUCACAGUUAGAGAAAACUACAAAACGUAAAGUGAUGUCAUAUGGCCACUAAAGUGCAAGCUGGUGCUCAACCCAGGUAAGUCUGCUUGCUGCUGCAUUGUAGGAGCUCUUAAACAGCACAGGUGCUCUGACUUAGGUUAAUCAACAACAUAGAUUAACAGAUGGGUUGAAACAUUGUCAAAAGAAAUGCCCUCUCUCCUGACCUUUGCUCCAUGUUUAAUUCCAUUUUGAUCAAUCAGUGUCUUCCUUGUAUCCAGAACUAGUUAACAUUCCCUUGGCACACUAGUUCAGAUUAAUUUCCAGUUCUUUGUGGUAAAGUUAUUGGAGACUCAGAACUCUCUAAAUUUAAAUUUAUUUCUAGCCAUUAGACUAUGGGUAGAGAUGAUGUAGACCAUUUCUAGA